GUCCACGCCGUAAACGAUGGGCACUAGGUGCCGGGGGAGGCGACCCCGUCCGGUGCCGCAGCUAACGCGUUAAGUGCCCCGCCCUGGGGAGGUACGGCCGCAAGGCUGAAACUCAAAGGAAUUGACGGGGGCCCGCACAAGCGGUGGAGCAUGUGGUUUAAUUCGAAGCAACGCGAAGAACCUUACCUGGGUUUGACAUGCUGGUGAAACCCUCUGGAAACAGGGGGCCUUCUUCGGAACUCCAGCACAGGUGCUGCAUGGCUGUCGU
rnacentral:rRNA from 1 species